CAAUAGCGUAUAUUGACGUUGUUGCAGUUAAAAAGCUCGUAGUUGGAUUUCUGGAGGGAGCGUCGGCCCGUAUUUACGAGUGCGUGACGUCUCUGUCCAUCCUUGCGGGAAGGCACGGCAUUGAUUUGUUGUGUCGGAUCGCAUCAUUUACUGUGAAAAAAUUAGAGUGUUCAAAGCAGGCUUUCGCUUGAAUACAUUAGCAUGGAAUAAUAAGAUAGGACUUUGGUGCUAUUUUGUUGGUUGAGCCUAAAGUAAUGAUUAAUAGGGAUAGUUGGGGGCACCUGUAUUGCGUUGUCAGAGGUGAAAUUCUUGGAUUUACGCAAGACAAACAGCUGCGAAAGCGUCUGCCAAGGAUGUUUUCAUUA
rnacentral:rRNA from 1 species